rnacentral:rRNA from 1 species
AUUGAACGCUGGCGGCAGGCCUAACACAUGCAAGUCGAGCGGUAGCACAGAGAGCUUGCUCUCGGGUGACGAGCGGCGGACGGGUAAGUAAUGUCUGGGAAACUGCCUGAUGGAGGGGGAUAACUACUGGAAACGGUAGCUAAUACCGCAUAACGUCGCAAGACCAAAGUGGGGGACCUUCGGGCCUCAUGCCAUCAGAUGUGCCCAGAUGGGAUUAGCUAGUAGGUGGGGUAACGGCUCACCUAGGCGACGAUCCCUAGCUGGUCUGAGAGGAUGACCAGCCACACUGGAACUGAGACACGGUCCAGACUCCUACGGGAGGCAGCAGUGGGGAAUAUUGCACAAUGGGCGCAAGCCUGAUGCAGCCAUGCCGCGUGUGUGAAGAAGGCCUUCGGGUUGUAAAGCACUUUCAGCGGGGAGGAAGGCGAUAAGGUUAAUAACCUCAUCGAUUGACGUUACCCGCAGAAGAAGCACCGGCUAACUCCGUGCCAGCAGCCGCGGUAAUACGGAGGGUGCAAGCGUUAAUCGGAAUUACUGGGCGUAAAGCGCACGCAGGCGGUCUGUCAAGUCGGAUGUGAAAUCCCCGGGCUCAACCUGGGAACUGCAUUCGAAACUGGCAGGCUAGAGUCUUGUAGAGGGGGGUAGAAUUCCAGGUGUAGCGGUGAAAUGCGUAGAGAUCUGGAGGAAUACCGGUGGCGAAGGCGGCCCCCUGGACAAAGACUGACGCUCAGGUGCGAAAGCGUGGGGAGCAAACAGGAUUAGAUACCCUGGUAGUCCACGCCGUAAACGAUGUCGAUUUGGAGGUUGUGCCCUUGAGGCGUGGCUUCCGGAGCUAACGCGUUAAAUCGACCGCCUGGGGAGUACGGCCGCAAGGUUAAAACUCAAAUGAAUUGACGGGGGCCCGCACAAGCGGUGGAGCAUGUGGUUUAAUUCGAUGCAACGCGAAGAACCUUACCUGGUCUUGACAUCCACAGAACUUUCCAGAGAUGGAUUGGUGCCUUCGGGAACUGUGAGACAGGUGCUGCAUGGCUGUCGUCAGCUCGUGUUGUGAAAUGUUGGGUUAAGUCCCGCAACGAGCGCAACCCUUAUCCUUUGUUGCCAGCGGUUCGGCCGGGAACUCAAAGGAGACUGCCAGUGAUAAACUGGAGGAAGGUGGGGAUGACGUCAAGUCAUCAUGGCCCUUACGACCAGGGCUACACACGUGCUACAAUGGCAUAUACAAAGAGAAGCGACCUCGCGAGAGCAAGCGGACCUCAUAAAGUAUGUCGUAGUCCGGAUUGGAGUCUGCAACUCGACUCCAUGAAGUCGGAAUCGCUAGUAAUCGUAGAUCAGAAUGCUACGGUGAAUACGUUCCCGGGCCUUGUACACACCGCCCGUCACACCAUGGGAGUGGGUUGCAAAAGAAGUAGGUAGCUUAACCUUCGGGAGGGCGCUUACCACUUUGUGAUUCAUGACUGGGGUGA